GAUGAACGCUGGCGGCAGGCCUAACACAUGCAAGUCGAGCGGAGCGGCGGACGGGUGAGUAAUGCCUAGGAAUCUGCCUGGUAGAGGGGGAUAACGUCCGGAAACGGGCGCUAAUACCGCAUACUAUAAGAUGUGCCUAUGUCGGAUUAGCUAGUUGGUGGGGUAAAGGCCUACCAAGGCGACGAUCCGUAACUGGUCUGAGAGGAUGAUCAGUCACACUGGAACUGAGACACGGUCCAGACGCCUACGGGAGGCAGCAGUGGGGAAUAUUGGACAAUGGGCGAAAGCCUGAUCCAGCCAGGCCGCGGGUGUGAAGAAGGUCUUCGGAGUGUAAAGCACUUUAAGUUGGGAGGCGUUACCAACAGAAUAAGCCCCGGCUAACUUCGUGCCAGCAGCCGCGGUAAUUC
rnacentral:rRNA from 1 species